AUUGAACGCUGGCGGCAUGCUUUACACAUGCAAGUCGAACGGUAACAGGCCUUCGGGUGCUGACGAGUGGCGAACGGGUGAGUAAUGCAUCGGAACGUGCCCAAUCGUGGGGGAUAACGUAGCGAAAGUUACGCUAAUACCGCAUAAGCCCUGAGGGGGAAAGUGGGGGACCGCAAGGCCUCACGCGAAUGGAGCGGCCGAUGUCAGAUUAGCUAGUUGGUGGGGUAAAGCCCACCAAGGCGACGAUCUGUAGCGGGUCUGAGAGGAUGAUCCGCCACACUGGGACUGAGACACGGCCCAGACUCCUACGGGAGGCAGCAGUGGGGAAUUUUGGACAAUGGGCGCAAGCCUGAUCCAGCCAUGCCGCGUGCGGGACGAAGGCCUUCGGGUUGUAACCG
rnacentral:rRNA from 1 species